AUACGUAGGUGACAAGCGUUAUCCGGAUUUACUGGGCGUAAAGGGCGUGUAGGCGGUCUUGCAAGUCAGAAGUGAAAUUCCUGAGCUCAACUCGGGCGCUGCUUCUGAAACUGCAGGACCUGAGUGCUGGAGGGGAUAGCGGAAUUCCUAGUGGAGCGGUAAAAUGCGCAGAUAUUAGGAAGAACACCGGUGGCGAAGGCGGCUAGCUGGACAGUAACUGACGCUGAGGCGCGAAAGCGUGGGGGGCAAACAGGAUUAGAUCCCCUGGUAGUCCACGCCGUAAACGAUGAAUACUAGGUGUAGGGGGUAUCGACUCCCUCUGUGCCGCAGUUAACACAAUAAGUAUUCCGCCUGGGGAGUACGGCCGCAAGGUUGAAACUCAAAUGAAUUGGCGGGG
rnacentral:rRNA from 1 species